GGUGAAGAACGCAGUGAAAUGCGAUAAGUAGUGUGAAUUGCAGAAUUCAGUGAAUCAUCGAAUCUUUGAACGCACAUUGCGGCCAUAGGUAUUCCUUUGGCCAUGCCUGUUCGAGCGUCAUUUACACCCUCAAGCCUAGCUUGGUGUUGGGCGUCUGUCCCGCCGUUUUCGCGCGCGGACUCGCCUCAAAGUCAUUGGCGGCGGUCGUGCCGGCCCCCUCGCGCAGCACAUUUGCGCUUCUCGGAGGCCCGGCGGAUCCGCGCUCCAGCAAGACCUUUCACGACUUGACCUCGGAUCAGGUAGGGAUACCCGCUGAACUUAAGCAUAUCAAUAAGCGGAGGA
rnacentral:misc_RNA from 1 species